AGGAUUCCCCUAGUAACGGCGAGUGAAGAGGGAAGAGCCCAGCACCGAAGCCUGCGGCAGUUUUGCUGUUAGGCAAUGUGGUGUUUGGGUCGGCUCGUGGGACCGCCACUCCACUCGAAGUCCAGCAUUGAGUAUGGUUUCUGGAUUUGGCCCAGAGAGGGUGAAAGGCCCGUACGGGUGGAGUAUCAGACAUGUGAGGUGGUUCACCAGGCCGGCCUUAGAGUCGGGUUGUUUGGGAAUGCAGCCCAAAGCGGGUGGUAAACUCCAUCCAAGGCUAAAUACUAGCACGAGUCCGAUAGCGAACAAGUACCGUGAGGGAAAGUUGAAAAGUACUCUGAAGAGAGAGUAAACAGUACGUGAAACCGCAUGCAGGUAAACGGGUGGCGUCAAGCUGCAGGCCCAGAGAAUUCAGUCGGCCAGGGUGUUGUGUAUGCGCCUGGCGCAUCUAUCAGUCGGAGUAUGAUUGGAUGGUCCACCAGUAAACGGUGGGUCUGGCCGUGAGGUCAGGAUAUGUGUACCGGGUGGGUGCCGGAGCAUGCUAUCCGUCUGUGGACUGUCUGGCCGGUGCACUUUCUCUGUGGUCAACACCACGACCGGUGGUAUUGCCAGUCUGCUGUGCCCAAGUUGCAUUUGGUGGGUCCUCGUGGCUUACUGAGUGUGAUCACAGGCGAAGUCAGUUAACGGCGUAGAGGUGUUUCGGCACUUUUGCGUGUUAUCGGCAACUGUUUGUGAACGGGCCUGCUCAGUGUUUGUUGUAACCGACGCUGGGUGGUCCGGUGGGGCAUGGUGGUAAGAAUAACUGUGCAAGGCACCGGGGUUAUCGGCCUCAAAUGCGCCCUGCGCCCACGUUACAAGUGGUAUAUCGGCGGUGUCGUUGCUUUGCUGCCUGCCCGGUGCUGGGUGUGAUUGGCGUGUUGCCUGCUCAAAGUGGUAGGCCCGCCAGUGGCUCGGCUCGGGAUGGGUGGUUGGCGGUGCUGUUGGUGUGGGGCGUUGUGGGCCAAAUA
rnacentral:rRNA from 1 species